UGAAAUGGCUAUCUGAUGCCUGAGCAUGCA
rnacentral:piRNA from 1 species